ensembl:lncRNA
AAGGACUUUAAUUUUCAGGAUGCUUUGGAAGUGGAUUUCUGUUCUGCUGCUGCUGCAGAUAAGUUGCUGCUUCAGAUCUGCAAAACAUUUAGGGAGAAGAAAUGGGGUCAGUUUUACAGCGAAACUUUAGAGUGUCAUUCGAAGAUUUAGAGAGAAGUAAAAUGCAUACUUAUUCAUACAGUGGCUUUUUCAUUAACUAUGAGGAAAUCAUUAAAUUAAUGAGGAAACAUAUGGUAAGUCCUUUAAAAACCAACCCAAACUUACAUUUAUAUAAAUUGUAUGAGCCACAAGUCAAUUACAGAUGCAAAUUGUAUUACAUAUAAGAAGCAGAUUUUCUAUGUCAAACACAAUUUUCCCAACACUUUUAAGGAACUAUAAUUCAUACACAAAAGACAGGCUUUUCAACUUUUCUCUGUCUCAUUUGCUUAUUUUCUCUGUCUUUGAAGACAAACCACCUUAACUGAGACAAUGGGCCAAGCAGGAAUGUGGCUUAUGAGAUCCUACUGGGAUUUGGAGUUUCCUCACCCAACCUUACCAAAUGUUGACUAUGUUGGAGGACUCCAUUGCAAACCUGCUAAACCCUUGCCUAAGGUAAAUACAUUCUUUUUUAUCUCUUUUUCAUUUCAUUUUAUUUAUUGUGAAAGUGAUUCUAUAUCUGUCAUUACCUUUUACUCCCCUUAAUACAGAUGUAUGGGAUGUGGAAUUAAGAGUCCUGCUAAGUAGGAAGUCAAUAAACUCAGGAAAGGACAUGAUAGAAUUGGGAAA